rnacentral:tRNA from 1 species
GGGCCUGUAGCUCAAAGGUUAGAGCCGGCCGCUCAUAACGGUCUAGUUGCAAGUUCGAAUCUUGCCGGGCCCACCA